AUGGCUGCAGUAUUCUGACUGUGCAAAGGUAGCAUAAAAUUUAGUUAUUUAAUUGAUAACUUGUAUGAAUGAUUUUAUGAGAAAUUUAUUUUAUUAAUAAAAUUAUUAUAACUUAAUUUUUAUGUAAAAAAGCUUAAUUUUUUUUUCGGGACGAAAAGACCCUAUAGAACUUUAUAUAUUUUUGUUAAUUUUUUAAUUUGAUAUUUUAUAAAUUUUUAACAAUAUUAUAUUUUAUUGGGGUGAUAAAUAAAUUUGACUUUAUUUUACUAUUUCAUUUUUAAAUGUAUUUGUGAUCCAAAUUUUUUGAUUACAAGAAUUAGUUACCUUAGGGAUAACAGCGUAAUUUUAAUGGGGAGUUCAUAUUUAUAUUAAAGUUUGCGACCUCGAUGUUGAAUUAAGAAAAAAUUUUGGGGUAG
rnacentral:rRNA from 1 species